rnacentral:rRNA from 1 species
AUGGAGCAUGUUAAACCUGUCCUAAACGGCGACGAGGUUCUUGAAAAGUAUGAGGUGUUUUACUACGACGGAGAGACUCCGAGGGUGGUGGAGGAGGACACCGCUGUAUGGUCCUUGGAGGAGUAUGGUCACAUGGUCUAUCUAAAGGCGACCUUAUCGUGUGAUCCAUCGGUAGGUGGAUGCAUCGUCAUGCUCAUCCACCAGCCGUACGGCCAGCUCUCGUUUGCCAAGGUAGGAGAUGAUCAUUGGAAUUGGCUCAACGUAUCUAGCUACUACAGAGAUUGUGUAUACCACGACGGGUGGUUCUAUGCAGUUACCGAAGAAGGCGCGAUUGAUGCAUACAAUUUACAUGGACCGUCUGUCAUCCACAAAAGGUUGUUGCCCCAAAUAAUCCAGACAGUUUCAAAAUGUCACGUUGUUCGGGCACAAUCGGGAGAUGUCCUCCAAAUCAUUAGGAGGCAGCUUCUAAAUCCUGAUCAUGAUCAACCGGGCAGUCGGGAGUGGGUCACUGAAAUCAAAGUGUACAGGGUUGAUUUUGAUGACCAGAAGUGUGUCAACAUAAAUGAGAUAGGGGACUAUGCGUUGUUCAUCGGGAGCAGCACAACGUCUUGCUUAAGCCUCAAGGACUAUCCAGACUUGAUGCCAAACCAGGUCUAUUUUACAGAUGACGACGAUGCAACACACAUUUUCCGGAGAGAUGACCCUCCCGAGGUUGGAAUUUACGACAUUAAAAAUAAUACCAGGGUGAAUGUGGUUCAUCCUGAACUUUGGAUGAAUUGGUUGCCUCCAAUAUGGUUGAUGCCGAGUCUUGCAAAAACAGGUAUGGUUGUCCCUUGA